CCUACGGGUGGCAGCAGUGAGGAAUAUUGGUCAAUGGCCGGGAGCCUGAACCAGCCAAGCCGCGUGAAGGACGACUGUCCUACGCAUUGUAAACUUCUUUUGUCAAGGAAUAAAAUCAGGCACGUGAGCCUUUUUGUAUGUACUUUAUGAAUAAGCAUCGGCUAACUCCGUGCCAGCAGCCGCGGUAAUACGGAGGAUCCGAGCGUUAUCCGGAUUUAUUGGGUUUAAAGGGUGCGUAGAGGGGUUGUUAAGUCAGGUGUGAAAGGCUGGGGCUCAACCGUAAAAGUGCAAUUGAUACUGGCAGCCUUGAGGACAGUAGAGGUAGGCGGAAUUCGUGGUGUAGCGGUGAAAUGCUUAGAUAUUACGAAGAACUCCGAUUGCGAAGGCAGCUUACCAGACUGGCACUGACGCUGAGGCUCGAAAGCGUGGGUAUCAAACAGGAUUAGAUACCCGGGUAGUC
rnacentral:rRNA from 1 species